UAAUAGCGCUGCUGCCCGCUAUCAGGAUUUGAAUUUUAAUGUGGCAAGGUGGACCGACGAUUUAAUAAAGGUGGCAGGUAGUUGGUAAGAUCGGGAUAGUUGGCGUUCUAUGGAGGAGGCUUUCUCCAGCAGUGGACGGCAAAAGGCUGAAAUUUUUUUUCAGCCUUUUGGACUUUGGAGUGAUUAAAUCGCAUGUUUCAUAGACACAAAAAUCUAGUAGUCCCCGAACGCAGCGUGUAUGGAAGUGCCAAUUGGACUAUCCCCCGGGUCGCUGGACAAUAUUCCCAAUCGGACUCUAUUAGUUCCCGGGUAUACGCGUGAAACCGUCUGGGUGGACUAUUGCGGUUGUGAUAUUAUUAUUUUUUUACUAUCACCUGGGAAUCACUAAGCAUACAAAAAUAGUCUACAGUAUACUUAAGCAAUUAUUCUAUUCGUCACCAUUAGGGAAAAGGGAUCAGGAUCGAACCUGAGACUUUUACAUCGCUAGGCGGCCCGUAAACAAUUACCCUGUUGACGC